UCGAGUUCCAAUGUUUCUUUAUUUUUUUUUUUUGACUGGACAGUGUUUGGCAGUAAUGAAAAAAAUACAAGAACAAGUUUUACAUUACAGAGCGGGAAUACAAAAUAUUCAGCUCACUUUUAUGUACAAAAAAUUACACUGAUGAAAACAUGUGGAGUAAUGAUUUUAUUAUGCUUCAAACAUUGUGUUUACAUGUUCAUGUGAGGACUGUUCAAUAUUGCAUUACAUAAUCAUUUAUACAGACUUUCACAAAUAAACAAUACUAUCUAAUACUAACAAGUGUUUAUGAGAAAUGUGUUUGCAAGAGUUCAGGGAUCUAAUAAAAACAUAACGUAUUAAAUUUUAGACCAUGUGUAAGACUGCCAGGUAGCUGUUUAACACAUCUACAAAUAAUUCUGUUAACAAAAUACACAUUUUCUGAUUUCAGCCCUUUAUUUCUGACCUUCCUUCAACUUUUUGAACUAAAAUCUUAGUACAGAAAACCACACUGUUGUGGGUUCUUACAGGAUAUUUUGUAGGUUCUAUUAUUUAACCCACUCUAAUCCUUCCGAUAAUGCAAGAUAGACAUAUUUAGGGUUUUCAGGUACUCUUGAUAUGUAUGAAUAUGUAGACUUUAUACAAUUCUUAUUCUCUUUAAAUAUACAUAGAUAUUUUCUCUAAGUAAGGCAAAUACAAAGUACAACCAUUAUAAGUAAUGCGUUGUGUGUGAAAUAUUAACACAAACAAACAAUAUUAUGUCAGGAAAUCUAUGAUGUGCAGAGGAUGUCUGUCACGUUAUUGCCUCAUCCUAACCACUGCAGAGUUGCAAAAGUACAAGCUGACACUCAACAAAACAAUGUAUUUUUAGUCUUAAAUCUCUUAAAUGAUCAGAAAUCUUACACUUAUUUUUAAAAAGUAGCCUCUCUUGUAUCAAUAUAUAUAUACAAUACACAAGAUCCAGUGCACUCACUCAUCCACUAAACGGCAACUUCAAAACUCAGAGAUUUUAUUCGUUUUUUUAAACCACCUAAUCUAUGCAAAAAUAAUGGGGGUUUAGUUACAUUAUAUGAUCAUACAUUGCAUAAGCCUGCCACAACGUCAAUGUACCCCAUCUUUGGCAGGUCCUACUCUAACAACCUAAUGAGAUUAACCCACUUACUUGGGGGGAAAAAUUCCAUUUGGGAUUCUCUGCCAUGCAAGGCUGAAUAGGGCCCUGGAAUGAGGCACAUGUGACAGGGAUGGGCGCAAAACCAAGGAGUAGGCCUAAACGCCCUAUCACAGCUGCCUCAUUCCAGG